rnacentral:rRNA from 1 species
AGAAAAUCCUCCGAGCGAUUUUAAAGACUAGACUAACAAGUCAAACCAAACCAUCGCUUAUUGAUCCAAAAACUUGA